GGGGGUGGAUUGGGCCUGGUGGCUUGCCCGGACUUCAAAUCCGGUGGCGGGCGAGUUCGCCCGCGGUGGGUUCGAUUCCCACACACUCCCGCCA
rnacentral:tRNA from 1 species